CAGCAGAACAAGAAGAAGAACCAGCAUAAGAAGAACAGAGUAAAAAGAUUCCAACAGACUGGAAGAUUCCCUUCUGUCAAUAUUCACUUAAAAAUCACCCUGUAGGCAAAGUAAAGCUUUUUUUUUUUUUUUAAUUCUAUCUCAUGAAACCACUAACCUUAUUUAGAUAUUCUAGAUUCGUCAAAUCUGGCGCAAGAU